CCUUAACCUGCUAAAUAGCCAGGCCGGCAUUUUCUGGUCUCCGGCUCUUAGAGGGACUGUCAGCGUCUAGCUGACAGAAGUUUGAGGCAAUAACAGGUCUGUGAUGCCCUUAGAUGUUCUGGGUCGCACACGUGCUACACUGACAGAGCCAGCAAGUUUUUCACCUUGGCCGGAAGGUCUGGGUAAUCUUGUGAAACUCUGUUGUGCUGGGGAUAGAGCAUUGCAAUUAUUGCUCUUCAACGAGGAAUACCUAGUAAGCGUGAGUCAUGAGCUCGCGUUGAUUACGUCCCUGCCCUUUGUACACACCGCCCGUUGCUACUACCUGUUAAAUGGCUUAGUGAGGUCUCCGGAUUGGCUUUUGGGAGCCGGAAAUGGCACUUGAUUGCUGAGAAGCUGAUCAAACUUGGUCAUUUAGAGGAAGUAAAAGUCC
rnacentral:rRNA from 1 species